AUUGAACGCUGGCGGCAUGCCUAACACAUGCAAGUCGAACGGAGCGGCGGACGGGUGAGUAAUUCCUAGGAAUCUGCCUGGUAGUGCGGGAUAACUUCCGGAAACGGUCGCUAAUACCGCAUACUAUUAGAGCAGCCUAGGUCGGAUUUGCUAGUUGGUGGGGUAAAGGCCCACCAAGGCGACGAUCCGUAACUGGUCUGAGAGGAUGAUCAGUCAAACUGGAACUGAGACACGGCCCAGACUCCUACGGGAGGCAGCAGUGGGGAAUAUUGGACAAUGGGGGAAAGCCUGAUCCAGCCAUGCCGCGUGUGUGAAGAAGGUCUUCGGAUUGUAAAGCACUUUAAGUUGGGAGGCGUUACCUACAGAAUAAGCACCGGCUAACUUCGUGCCAGCAGCCGCGGUAAUAC
rnacentral:rRNA from 1 species